AUGGGCCCAUCCCUGGGCAUGGCUCCAUCCCGGGGCUGUGCUCCCGUCCCGGGGUCGUGCUCCUGUCCCUGGGUACCUCCCCCAUCCCUGGGUCACGCUCCCAGCCCUGGGUACUGCUCCCAUCCCCAGGUCCUGCUCCCAGCCCCGGGGGAUGCUCCUAUCUCUGAGCGAUGCCCCCGUACCCAAAUUGUGCUCCCAUCCCGGGUACCUCCCUCAUCCCUCGUUCCUGCUCCAUCCUUGAUGAAUGCUCCUGCUCCAGGUGCAGACCCCGCUCCACCCCCCCGCCAUAAAUUCACCUUCCCACCCGCCCCCUGCCCACGGCCAGGCCCACGGGGAUCUCUCCCUUCUCGCGCUCCCUCUCCUCCUCCCCUCCUCCCAGCCGCCUUUCAAACACAAACACGGAGCAGUGGAAAAUGUGACCGCCGCGGAGCUGCAGAUAACUCGGGGCCGAGCCGUGGCCAACUGGAACAGCAGAGGCUUGGCUGCGGCCCCGGCUGGAGCAAGCAGUGGCCGGGGGGGGGCCGGGGGACCCGGCGGGGGACAGCGCGGGACUCCCUCGCGCCUCGCUCCCUCGGCUCCCUGGGUUUCCACGUCACUGCUGGCCGGCCUGGCACUGCUCCGGCCACAGCAGCUUCCCCAGGGGCCAAAUCCAGCCGAGGAGGAGGCUGCGGGGACCCCAGCCUGGGGGGAAUGUCCUUAGGAUGGGGAUCCCGGUGGCGGCGGCGUGGGGGUGGGAUGGAAGCGCCAUGGGUGGUGCUGAGGGAGAAGGUUGGAGAUGCCCGGAGGUGGUGCCUGGAUGAGGAUGGAGAUGCUCGGGGUGGUGCUGGAUGGGCAGGCUCGGGGUACCCAGGGAUGGUGCUGGAGGAGGAGGGUGGAGUUGCCCAGGGAUGGUGGCACACGGGCAGGUUAGAGGUGCUCAGCGCUGGUGCUGGGUGGGCAGGAUGAAGACAGCAUCCCAGGGAUGAUGCCGGGGUGAGGACCACGGUGCCCAGGGAUGGGGCCAGAUGAGGAUGGCGCUGCCAUGGGCAGGAUGGAGAGGCCCGGGUGCGGUGCCAGCUGGGCAGGAUGGAGAGCCCGGGGAUUGUGAUGAACGAGGAUGGAGAUCCCAGGGGUGGUGGCACUUGGACAGGAUGGAGAUGCCACAGAUGGUGGCACAUGGGCAGGACGGGGGUGCCAGGGAGGGUGGCACAUGGGCAGGACGGAUGCCAGGAACCAUCCCUCGUGGCCGCAGCGGUGCCCGCGGCAGCCCAGCAGCGGUGAUGCCCACGGGAGCACGACGGAGCCCCGGCACUGGGCAGCCCGGAGGUGUGUGGGCUGGGAGCAGCAGCGGUCGGAGCAGCCCGUUUGUUUCUCAUUAGCGGCUCUUGGCAGGAGCUGUGGAAAAAAUAGCUUCAAACAGCAGAGCUGGAAGGGAAAAGGCUGGGCCAGAGGGAGGGGAGAGGGGCCGCGGUGGGGAAGGGGGCGCAGGGCCAGACGGGGCGCGGGGAAGGGGCUGGGGGUCUGCGGCCUGCGUGGGUGCAGGGACGGGGAAGGGGACGGGGUCCCCGUGGUGGCAUCCCGUUCCUCAGGGAGCAGCAGCCGGGGAGCUCGAGCACACGCGUGUGUUGGUGUGUGCUUCCGUGCACGGGGCCGGCGAGCCCCGCGUGUGCGCGCACACCUGGUGGUGUGAGCAUGGCCGGGGAGGGGACAGGGCCCCGGGAGGUUCCUCGCGGCACCGGGGCCGAUCCUCACGUUUUUGGGGGCGGCGGGAGGCCCCGAGCCGCUUACGCAACCGCGUGUCUGCGAGCUUCGACGAGCGCCGCCAAGUCCCCCGAACACGAGCGGGGGGGGAGCAGGGCGAGGACCGCCGCGAGCUCGGCCCUGCUGCUCCUCCUCCGUGGCACGGUGGCUUGUCCCCAGUGCCAUGGUGGUGCCAGGGUGGCACCGGUGCCAUACGGCCUCUCCCUAGGGCUGGGAACCGGCAGCAUCGCGAUGGGGUCAUCUGGGGACAGUGCCCGGGCGUGCCGCUCGUCCCCACGGACGGGGCCAUGCCAACAGGAGCCGGUGGCACCGUGGCAGCGGGCACACGGACGCGGUCCCCAUGGGUGUGGGGACACCUCGGCGUGGCCAGGAGGGGGUCCCCGUGUGCCCCUCGCCGUGUGGCACGCGUGCUCGGUGUGCGCGUGCAGCCCCGUGUGUCGGUGCACACAGUGGGCACGCGCGUGGCCCCAUGGGUUUGGCACAGGUACGUGGCCUCCGGGAGCCACCUGGCUAUUUCUGCCUCCCGCCUGGCUUUAAUUCUACCCUGGCUGCUGCCGGCGUGUAAUUAGGAGCCCAAAAAAAGGCCGGCAGCCUCCCCGGGCACCGUGUAAUCUGCGGCAGCGCAUGGACACGCAGCGCUGCGGCCCCGGGGAGGGACCGGGGCACCGGGGGGGGGCGGCGAGCACCCGUAGCCCCGUCUGGGUGUCCCCGCACAGCCGGUGCUGCCGGAGCACCCCUGGGCUGGAGGGGACCGCAGCAAGCUGGGGGGGCUCUGCUUUGGGUUUAUAAUACGGGGGGGUGUUGAAAGUGAGGGCCCCCACCACAGCAGCCCCGGUUUGGGGACCUGCCGGCAACCCCUGGGGAGGGAGCGCAGGAGGACACGCGGCGGCAGUGCCUUCGUUAAGCCCCUGAGCCAAUUAGCCCAGCACAGCCACCCCGUGCACCCCCCCAGCAAAGCCCCCGCUCCCUGGGUGCCAAUAAACCCCUUAAGGGGAUGAUCCUGCUUAAGGCAGCACCGGGCGGGCAGGGCGCUAUAGCACCCAUGGGUGUCACCUCUGCUCCCCACUUGGUGUCACCGCAGGGACUUCGCCGCCGUCCCCUUGUCCCCUGGCUCCCCACGUGCUAUGGGGCAGCCCCAAAUCACUGCACCCCCCCCCACACCCCUUGUGUAACUCACCUGGGUGCACGGCCCCUGCCUGUGUCCCCACGACCCCCGGCUCGCCUGCUGGGGGGGGCACGGCGUGGGGCAGCCCCACGGCCCGGCCCCCAGCCCCACGGCAGCCCCGGUGGUGCGGGGCUGAUCGGCUUUGGAGAGCUUAAGGUCCUGAGCCAGCGGCUUCACGCCUGCGAGGAGAUCCCGCUCCUUCGGCCUCGCCGCCGUCACCUCGCCUGACCCGGGGACACGGCUCCAGCGGGGCACGACCGGAGGGUGUGCAAGACACGGCACCCCCUGUGCCACCCCACGUGCACCCCUUGUGCCAUCUUGAGCAUCCCUGUGUCACCCCGUGUGCAUCCCAUGGUACCCCCUGUGACACCCCGAGCACCCCAUGUGCCACCCCAUGCACCCUGCACGCAUCCCGUGCACCCCCUGUGCCCACCCCAUGUGCAUCCCGUGCACCCCCUGUGCCAUCCUAAGCACCCCCUGUGCCACCCCAUGUGCGUCCUGUGCACCCCCUGUGCCACCCUAAGCACCCCCUGUGCCCACCCCAUGUGCAUCCUGUGCACCCCCUGUGCCACCCCAUGCACCCUGCACGCAUCCCGUGCACCCCCUGUGCCACCCCAUGUGCGUCCUGUGCACCCCCUGUGCCACCCCAUGCACUCUGUGUGCGUCCCAUGAACCCCCUGUGGCAACCCAUGUGCACCCCAAGCCACUCCCUGAGCCACCCCGUGCACCCCCUGUGCCACCCCGUGCACCCUGCAUACAUCCCAUGCACCCUGUGCCACCCCAUGUGCACCCCAUGUCACCCCCUGUGCCACCCUGUGCACCCUGCAUACACCCCGUGACCCCUUGUGCCACCCCAUGUGCAUCCUGUGCAACCCUGUGCCACCCCGUGCACCCUACAUGCACCCCGUGCACUCUGUGCCACCCCAUGUGCACCCCCUGUGCCACCCCGUGCCCCCCCUUCUCACACCCAGAGCAUGCACCACACCCCCCCCCUGCACACACACACUGCUGUGGGCACACACGCGUUGCACACACCACGUGCAUCAUACACCACUGCACCCCCCCCCCCCUUCAUGGACACCCCCCCAGCUGCAUUUUGGGUUUGGGGGCGCUGGCACCCCCCCGGGCUCCCCUCCCCGUGCCACCCCAGCCACGCUCCUGGUCUGCUCCAUCCUGGUCUGCAGCAGCUCCCACGGGCACAGCCUGACCCCCCCCCCACCCCAAAGCUGGCGGGGGGGGAGCAGAGCUGCUGGGGCUGGGGGGUUUGGGGGGGGGGGAGGUGGCAGGACCCCCCCGGACAGCCCCGGCCCCGCUCCAGCUCCCACGGCCGGGGACACGUGGCCUUUCCCUCUGCCAACGGGAGCCCCUUGGGAACGGGAGCAAAAAGCCUGGAAAUGCCCCAAAAUCCACCCGUGCCCAGCGGGG
rnacentral:lncRNA from 1 species